GUGUGUAACGAGUGUAUUAAUGUGUGUGAGGGAAAUAAAGGGGUGUGAGGUAUGACGGGCCAGCCUGCCGCAGCUCACCCCUGGCCUGUUAAACCUUCCGUCAGACUUAAACUAGGCAGUGGCGGUUAGGUCUGACCAGCGGACAUGAAAGCAUAGUCAUGUGGCUCCAUUCACUGCCACGGGUGACUUAUGGUGACGAGAAAUAAAGUAAAUAUUGGCUAAUAUAUACGGACGUCCGGAUCAUGUCUGCUUAUAUUUUUUAAAAAGUUGAAUUUUGGCGGGUUUUCAUUUCACGGAAGAGUUCAUUUGUUAAUAUUUCGUCAUGCGGGUUACGUUGAAACUAAAUAUUACGAGUAUGACUAAAUAAAAAGCCGAAAUAAUGUAAAAAAAAAAAAUAAUAAUAAUGAAGGUACCGUGGAUUGGCAACACUUACAAUGUAAACAAACAGCUGAUCACGGGUCCGGAGCGAGGCAAGGAGAUAAAAAUAAUAAUAAACGAAGGAAAUAGAGCAAAUACUCGUAGAAGGACGACAGCAGGCAGAGAGGGGCAGGAGAAGUAGCAGAAUCAGGGAAAGGCGUAUUGGUGCCAGUAAAUAAGGUGGACUUGGAAUCUCUCAGGGGAAACUACAUGUAGUAAUUGAAUUAAAAUGGCUAGAACCAGAGGAUGGGGUUGUGCGUCCCCGGGAGUUCAGAGGGUGCCGGCGCUUCAACUGAUGGUGUGGACCCAUGAGACAGAGGCUCCACCAGGGUAACAGGGACGUGAGGGGUCUCCAGCAGCAUGCCUGAAGAUACUUGUGUGUGGACGAGGGACACACACUCAAGAACCACAAGUCCCUGAACACCUUUCCCCCCAUGAACUGGCUGCUGUUUACUGGGACACCCUUGCAGAACAGCCUGGCGGAGCUCUGGGCCCUUCUGAACUUCCUAAUGCUGGAUAAUUUUGAGUCCUUGUCCAAUGUGAGUGAGAUGCAGGAGGGAAGUGAGGAGAGGACUCUGAGGCAGGAAUGGGAGGGCCAGGCCAUCUCCACUCUAAUGAAGAUAAGAGAGAGGGAAUGUGGGUGUGUUUGGGAGUGUUUUGGUGGCUUUGGGUAGGUUUGGGUGUGUUUGGGGAGUUUUUUAUGAUUAUUUAAAGAGGUUUUUUUGGGCUGGAGAGGAGUUUUUGGGCUGGAGAGAAUUUUUUGGGUCUGGAGAGGAGUUUUUGGGCUGGAGAGGAGUUUUUUGGGCUGGAGAGGAGUUUUUUGGGCUGGAGAGAAUUUUUUUGGGUCUGGAGAGGAGCUUUUUGGGCUGGAGAGAAAUGUUUUGGGCUGGAGAGAAGGUUAUGUUUUGGGCUGGAGAGAAGGUUUUGUGGGCUGGAGGGAAGUUUUUUGGGCUGGAGGGAAGUUUUUUGGGCUGGAGAGGAGUUUUUUGGGCUGGAGAGGAUCGUUUCAGGUCAGGUGGUUAAACACUACCGUCUAUCUAGUGGCUAUUGUAGGCUGUAUAUCUCUCUCUCUCUCUCUCUCUCUCUCUCUCUCUCUCUCUCUCUCUCUCUCUCUCUCUCUCUCUCUCUCUCUCUCUCUCGGCGAGAUAGCAAGGUACACACACCACCACCCCUCACACACACACACACACACACACACACACAGCCCCCUCCCCCUCUCCCCCCUUUAUCGUAACGUAUAAACAGGACUAAACGUGUUACCAAUGCCAGCAAUGUAAACAAAACCACAGUGACUUUGAAAUGUAAACAAAAAAAGUCACGUGACCAGGUAAUGUAAACAAAACCACGUGACUGAAAUGUAAACAAAAAAGUCACGUGACCAGAUAAUGUAAACAAAACCACGUGACUGAAAUGUAAACAAAAAAGUCACGUGACCAGAUAAUGUAAACAAAACCACGUGACUUUCAAAUGUAAACAAAAAAGUCACGUGACCAGAUAAUGUAAACAAAACCACGUGACUGAAAUGUAAACAAGGUCACGUGACUUGCAAAUGUAAACAAAACAGGAAAAAAACAAACAACCGCCAUCUUGAAAGCAACGUAAACAAACAAACAAACAAACACGUGGAUAUAUUAACAGUUUGCACUUAAAACAAACAAACAAACAAACAAA